CAAUGAAUAAAUGUAUGACGUCAUCAAAAAGGAAUCCCGCCUGCACGCACACACGCACGCACAUUCAGGAGAAAAUUGAGCUGUGUAAUUUGUCAUACAUGGAAACUGGAGCUAAUCUCAAUUGUAAAAAUCGACAUGUUUACAAUGCUGCAUCUUUCUCGUUACCCCACAUAUUAAAACAAUAGGCCUACCUACAGUUCUAGACAAACACUCAUUUCACUCAACACAUUUAUGGCGCAAAUCCAAAGUAACCAGAGGUCCUGACAUCACCACGCUACCACCACUUCACAGAGAGGCUGGGCCUGCAGUCACCACACACUGAGAAGACGGCGCUGCCAUAGUGAAAACAAAUAUAUAUAUCAUUUUUUUAAAUAUAUAUAUUUUAUUUUUUUGUAACAUGCUGAAAAAGCAAAGCCGCCAUUCUGCGUUUCUUUUGACGUCAGGAGACAAGAUGGAGGCCGUGUGGUGGCAGUUUGUACAGUUGGUGUUGUGGUGCUGCAGCUACCGGGGCUUUCCACAGCCAACACUCAGCACACCAUGUGACCCAGGCAGCCAAUCAGGUCGCCCAGGCAGACUGUCUCCAAACCAGUCAGAUCAGUCCUGGGCCUUUUGUUGCAUUAACAUCGCUGGGAAUUAUGGGGAAAACAUUUUCGCGACAUCGGAAAGUUCUCGUGAACGACACUUCAAGACCCUCUUAUGAUUCUACUUCUGUUCGGCAACUGGGGCCAGAUUUUGAUAACAGUUGCCCAGUUGGUGACAUAUGGUUUACUAGUGACGCAUAUGACCAUGGCGGAACAUGAACGUUUUACUUAAUAUAAAAUAGCCUAAUGAACCAUCAUAUCACAUACUUUACUAUUGAUUGAUGUCGUAACCAUCUGUUGGCAUCGAGCACUGGUAAACCAUCUAAGGGCAUGUGUAGCCUUUCAUACAGUGGCAAUACAAUGUGCUUCUCAUAAAGAAAAGCAAAAGGAUAGUAGCUGGUAGGCUACAAGGAAAUAAAGACCUUCGAACUUGAAACUGAUCCUACUAAGUUCUGAUUAGUUCUGACUUUUUUUGUAUCUGAAAAAAAAACCCUGCUGUUGAGAUCUUUUAGGUUCCCAACGCAGUGCACGUGAACGGUCGCUGUCGGGAACACGUGUCAGCGUGAGCGUCAUCAGUGGGGAGCCGUUGCGUUAUCACCAGGACCGUGAACGCACCUUAAAUCACUCAGCAGCCAUCUUGGUCCUACACGAUAGCUGGGCGGGUAACUGAAUAAGGAUUUGUAAAUUCUAUUAUUUGAUCUGCAGAAAGAUUAUAUCUCUGUUUUCAUGAUGUUGAAGCUAUCUCCAUUUAGUAUAGGCCUAAUUGUGUUCAUAUUGAAUAUCAUAGGAUAUUAUCAAAUACUGAAUAAAUGAAAGGCUCAAUACCUAUCUCAAUAACCUAAAAUCAUAAUUGCCAUUCAAUGUUUUUGUGAACGUAUAUGUAACACAUCGCUUCGCAUAUUUUUCUAACUUUAGAUAAUAAUUCAGCAUAAUUAUUUUGUUUUUUAAUUU
ensembl:lncRNA